rnacentral:lncRNA from 1 species
CAUUUUCAGUUGACAUUGACUAAUCUUAUCUAGUUCCAAGGAUUUAAGAAAUCUUAGGAUUUCAUAGACAUGACUAAUAUGCGUAAGGGAAAGUCCUCUCCUUUUACGAGAUAACUUAAUUCCAUCAUUUGGAUCUCGAGAGGUGAACAAGUAUGGAUACUAGGCACCAAGAGGUUGUUGUCCGUAAUUGUGAAGCUCUAUACGUCUUAUAAGUGAAAUCUUCGAGAUAUAGCUCUUCCAAUCACACUUAAUCAUAUGGAUCUUGAGAGGUGACCAUGUGUGACGUUUAAUUACUCUGAGAGGAGCACACCUUAAUUAUAAGUUGGUUGAGCGAGUUUUAUUGCAUCAAGGUUGUUGUGUUACUUAAUUGAAUUACAAUGCAUAUACAUUCAUUCGCUUUUUUCGCAUACAAGUUAGUUCACAUUCUCAUCUCACCAUCCAUAUUUCACUUUACAGACUCUCUAGGCGUAGACAUUUAGCGAUAGUUUGUUCUUGCAUUUAUUUUACACAAUUUGUUUUUCUUUAAUUCUUUUAUAUGACCUAGAUGAUAAGUAAACCCUAGAGCUAAUACCUUGAAUCAAUUUCCUGUGUUCGACCCUAGAUCACUUAGGUAAAUCUAUUGCUUUGCUUGCACUUGGACAAGUAGUAGGAAAACUUAUACUAAAUGCGAAUUUUAGCAAAAGCUAUUGUAGAGAGCAAGAGCUUCCCCUCGAUUCCUUUCUUUGUUUUAGGUGAGAGUCUAAAAAAGAGAGUCAUCAAUUUCCCCCCGUGUAAAGGCAAAAAUCAGAGCUAAAGAGUAUGAGCACUCAUUCUCCACGACUUGUCUCCUUUUCUGUGUUCCAUUUGCAUAUUUCAUUAACACCAAGUUGUAAUAUUGACUCCACGACUGAGAGACCUAAAAUUUUAUUUAUGAUAUUUAUGUUUUGCUUCUAUCACUCUCCUAUAUUUCCUUAUAUGUUCAUCUGUUGCACGUUUAGUUAAUUGUUUGCAUAAUGUAGGGUAUUUUAACACUAGAAACUUUGUUUGAAUGCAUGGUAAGUUAUGCUUAGCUAAAUACGACCAUCAAUAUCUUAUCUCAUUGGAGAGAAAAGAUAAAGUAUUAAUAGUUAUCACUUGACACGUGAUGACCCCUAUUUUAUUAACCAUACGACAAUGAGAUUGUGGCAAUACAAUCUUGUCACCCAAUUUAUGCCUUGCAUAUAUGAUAGAAAUGCAGGAUAUGUGUGUCAAAAGCAAUGAGAGGUUGCUUUCCUUAAUAAGGACAAAUUUCUUAUAGUUCAAACAAACACAUGAGAUACAAAUCAUAAAUUAACUUUAAAUAAUUAAGUCCCGAGAGGUGAGCAAGUAUGAUAAAGGCUUCUAGAGGUUGCUCGCCUUAAUUAAACAUUUAGUUAACAACAUAUGUUAAAAUCCCUUGUUUUACAUUUAGUUAGUUAAAUAUUUUGACAUGUCCACACGCCUAAACAACCAAGUUCAUGUUUCAUUACAUUUCACCUCUACAUCCAUCUUGCUGCUUUUAUUCGCACUAUAGUUAAAUAAUUAGGAAAACCAUAUUGCACAUACAUUUAUAUUGUAUACUUAAGUGCAUAUGAUUUAAGACGUGAGAUAGAUUCAUGUAAGAAGCUAAUUUCCUGUGUUCGACCCUGGACUUACCAGGAAACCUCUUUCGCCGCUUGCACUUGGGUGAGAAAGAGGAAAACUUGUCCUAAUGUUCAUCAUCAUGCAUUUAGCAACACAUAGGUAGGAUAUGCACCUUUUAUCGCAUAACCCUAACCUAGACACAAUCUUAAUCACAUUAUUAGAGCUUUGCACGAAAUAUCCACGAAUGAUCUUUGCACAUAACGCACACCACAUAAUAAACAAACCCAACAAGUACUACUUGAGGCUUCUCUCUCUAAUCUCUAUUUAACCUCUCACAAAGAAUUUGAUUUGAGAAGAGAUGAAAAAGGAUAAACUUCUAUAUAGUGUGGGCACUUAGUAUGUACUUCUAUAUGUGUAUCUAUCUAUAUCUCCCACUAAUAGAAUAGAAGGGUAUUCAUAGGCAUGGUUAGGCGGGAACUACCCAGGCUCUACUGCUCAAAUUGUCCUUAUCCUCUAAACAUGUCAAGGUCGAUGCCAAUCUCGACAAGUCCCAUCAACUCCACUGUCCACUUUUUUCUUCUAGCGAAUCAGCACAUGUUAUGAGAUUGUUGUCAAAAUGCCUCUCGAUUUAGAUCGCCUGACAUCUUCUCAUCACCCAAUUUAUUGACGCAUUCCUU